UGACUGAAUAAAGGACACUUUGAAGGAUUACUCCAUAGUGCCACAUCAUCAGGAACCCUGUCCUAGGAUGAGGUAUAAAGGCUACUGAUCAGAGAACCCAGAGUAUUCAUCAAAGCCCUUCUCACAUGUUCAACUAUUGCUGAAGCAUCAGAGAAAAACCCUGAGAAGAUGAAAAUUCUAGUGCUGACUCUGGGGCUGGCCCUAGUUUGUGGACUCCAGGCCCUUGAUGACAACAAGGGGGGUGACUUAUUAGAGCUUAGUGGAGUGUGGUACUCUAUUGGCUUGGCCUCAGAUAAUGAAUCUAAGAUUAAGGGAGAAGGCGUCUACAAGAUGUUUGUCAAAAAUAUCAAAGAGGACAAUGGUAUGCUAGUUGGAAACUUCAUGAAAAGGGAAAAUGGAAAAUGUGUUCCAUUCACUUUGACUGGUCAAGUAGUAGAUGAUGUAAUAAUUGUGCAAUGUAAGUAUAAAUGAGGAUUUCGUUAUCUUUCAGUAUUAUUCUGAAAUGAAUUAAUGAACUCUGAUUAACA
rnacentral:lncRNA from 1 species